ACAGGCAAGAGCUCAGAUUUUUAAGCCUUUUUGGCAUUGUAUUCUGAAGUCAGUUUCCUGAGUAUCGGUGUUUAAGUCUUCUGGAAAGGAGCGCCAUGGAGGGUGAUAGCCCCGUACGGCACCUCACUCAUUGUAAGAUUCUGACGUGGAGUCGAGUUGUUUGGGAAUGCAGCUCAAAAGGGUGGUAUGCUCCAUCUAAAGCUAAAUAUCUGUGAGAGACCGAUAGCGAACAAGUACUGUGAAGGAAAGAUGAAAAGAACUUUGAAAAGAGAGUGAAAAAGUACGUGAAAAUGUUGAAAUGGAAGGAUAUUCCCC
rnacentral:rRNA from 1 species